rnacentral:rRNA from 1 species
CAAGUCGAACGCGAAAGGGGGGCAACCCCCGAGUAGAGUGGCGAACGGGUGAGUAAUACAUCGGAACGUACCCAGUAGCGGGGGAUAACCUCUCGAAAGAGAGGCUAAUACCGCAUACGACCUACGGGUGAAAGAGGGGGAUCGCAAGACCUCUCACUAUUGGAGCGGCCGAUGUCGGAUUAGCUAGUUGGUGGGGUAAAAGCCUACCAAGGCGACGAUCCGUAGCUGGUCUGAGAGGACGGCCAGCCACACUGGAACUGAGACACGGUCCAGACUCCUACGGGAGGCAGCAGUGGGGAAUUUUGGACAAUGGGCGAAAGCCUGAUCCAGCCAUGCCGCGUGAGUGAAGAAGGCCUUCGGGUUGUAAAGCUCUUUCGGCUGGGACGAAAAGGUUCGUGCUAACACCACGGAUCCAUGACGGUACCAGCAGAAGAAGCACCGGCUAACUACGUGCCAGCAGCCGCGGUAAUACGUAGGGUGCAGGCGUUAAUCGGAAUUACUGGGCGUAAAGCGUGCGCAGGCGGUUUGCUAAGACAGGUGUGAAAUCCCCGGGCUUAACCUGGGAGCUGCGCUUGUAACUGGCAAGCUAGAGUGUGGCAGAGGGGGGGUGGAAUUCCACGUGUAGCAGUGAAAUGCGUAGAGAUGUGGAGGAACACCGAUGGCGAAGGCAGCCCCCUGGGCUAACACUGACGCUCAUGCACGAAAGCGUGGGGAGCAAACAGGAUUAGAUACCCUGGUAGUCCACGCCCUAAACUAUGUCAACUGGUUGUCGGGGAAGCAAUUCCUUGGUAACGAAGCUAACGCGUGAAGUUGACCGCCUGGGGA